UCCUGGGUGGCUCAGUCGGUUGAGCAGCUGACUUUGGCUUAGGUCAUGCAUGAUCUCACAGUUCGUGGGUUCGAGUCCCACUUCGGGUU
rnacentral:tRNA from 1 species